CCUACGGGAGGCAGCAGUGGGGAAUAUUGCACAAUGGGGGAAACCCUGAUGCAGCGACGCCGCGUGAGUGAAGAAGUAAUUCGUUAUGUAAAGCUCUAUCAGCAGGGGAGAAAAUGACGGUACCUGAGUCAGAAGCCCCGGCUAACUACGUGCCAGCAGCCGCGGUAAUACGUAGGCGGCAAGCGUUAUCCGGAUUUACUGGGUGUAAAGGGAGCGUAGACGGCAGUGCAAGUCUGGAGUGAAAGGCGGGGGCUCAACCCCCGGACUGCUCUGGAAACUGUACGGCUGGAGUGCAGGAGAGGUAAGUGGAAUUCCUAGUGUAGCGGUGAAAUGCGUAGAUAUUAGGAGGAACACCAGUGGCGAAGGCGGCUUACUGGACUGUAACUGACGUUGAGGCUCGAAAGCGUGGGGAGCAAACAGGAUUAGAUACCCCUGUAGUC
rnacentral:rRNA from 1 species